rnacentral:rRNA from 1 species
GGUUAAAUAGUACGUGAAAUUGUUGAAAGGGAAGCGCUUGUGACCAGACUUGGGCGCGGCGGAUCAUCCGGGGUUCUCUCCGGUGCACUUCGCCGCGUCUAGGCCAGCAUCAGUUCGUCGCGGGGGAACCAGGCUUCGGGAACGUGGCUCCUCCGGGAGUGUUAUAGCCCGUUGCAUAAUACCCUGCGGUGGACUGAGGACCGCGCAUCUGCAAGGAUGCUGGCGUAAUGGUCACCAGCGAC